GUGGCUCAGUGGUAGAGUGUUUGCCUUGCACGCAUGUGGCCCUGGGUUCAAUUCCUCAGC
rnacentral:tRNA from 1 species